rnacentral:tRNA from 1 species
GCCGAAGUGGCGGAACUGGCAGACGCGCUGGACUCAAAAUCCAGUGGAGCGAGAGCUCCGUGUGGGUUCGAUUCCCACCUUCGGCA